rnacentral:rRNA from 1 species
CUGGCUCAGAACGAACGCUGGCGGCGCGUUUAAGCAUGCAAGUCGAGCGGCAAGGGCCUUCGGGCCCCUAGAGCGGCGGACGGGUGAGUAACACGUGGACAAUCUGCCCCCCGGCCCGGGAUAGCCCAGGGAAACCUGGAUUAAUACCGGAUGAGACGGGACCCGCGAUGGCGGGAUCCGGGAAAGGCGCUGCGGCGCCGCCGGGGGAUGAGUCUGCGUCCCAUUAGCUAGACGGCGGGGUAACGGCCCACCGUGGCGACGAUGGGUAGCCGGCCUGAGAGGGUGGACGGCCACAUUGGAACUGAGACACGGUCCAGACUCCUACGGGAGGCAGCAGCUAAGAAUCUUCCGCAAUGGGCGAAAGCCUGACGGAGCGACGCCCGCGUGAACGAAGAAGGCCGUGAGGUUGUAAAGUUCUUUUCGGGAGGGGGAACAACCGUGGCAGGGAAUGGCCGCGGGAUGACGUGAAUCCCGGAAUAAGCCCCGGCUAACUACGUGCCAGCCGCUGC